GACGAACGCUGGCGGCGUGCUUAACACAUGCAUGUCGAGCGGAAAGGCCCUUUCGGGGGUACUCGAGCGGCGAACGGGUGAGUAACACGUGAGUAAUCUGCCCCUGGCUUUGGGAUAGCCACCGGAAACGGUGAUUAAUACCGGAUACGACCACUUCUCGCAUGGGAUGGUGGUGGAAAGUUUUUCGGCCAGGGAUGUGCUCGCGGCCUAUCAGCUUGAUGGUGAGGUAAUGGCUCACCAUGGCUUCGACGGGUAGCCGGCCUGAGAGGGUGACCGGUCACACUGGGACCGGGACACGGCCCAGACGCCUACGGGAGGCAGGAGUGGGGAAUAUUGGACAAUGGGCGGAAGCCUGAUCCAGCAACGCCGCGUGAGGGAUGACGGCCUUCGGGUUGUAAUCCUCUUUCAGCAGGGACGAAGCGCAAGUGACGGUACCUGCAGAAGAAGCACCGGCCAACUACGUGCCAGCCGCCGCAGUAA
rnacentral:rRNA from 1 species